CCGGUUGAUCCUGCCGGCGGGCACCGCUAUUGGAAUGCGCUUAAGCCAUGCGAGUCGAGAGGUGCAAGACCUCGGCAGACGACUCAGUAACACGCGGAUAACCUGCCCUAUGGUGGGGGAUAAUCUCGGGAAACUGAGAAUAACACCCCAUAGAUCUAGGAUGCUGGAAUGCUUCUAGGUUGAAACGCGAGGCCAUAGGAUGGGUCUGCGGCCUAUCAGGCUGUAGUGGGUGUAACGGACCCACUAACCUUCGACGGGUACGGGCUUUGAGAGAAGUUGCCCGGAGUUGGAUUCUGAGACAUGAAUCCAGGCCCUACGGGGCGCAGCAGGCGCGAAAACUGCACAAUGUGGGAAACCACGAUGCGGGUAUUCCAAGUGCUGUCACUUAGUGACAGCUGUUCCCUUGCCUUAAAAGCAAGAGGAGUAAGGGCCGGGUAAGACGGGUGCCAGCCGCCGCGGUAAUACCCGCGGCCCGAGUGGUGCUCAUUAUUAUUGAGCCUAAAACGUCCGUAGCUGGUCCAAUAAAUCCCUGGGUAAAUCGAACUGCUCAACAGUCCGAACUCCGGGGAGACUGUUGGACUUGGGACCGGGAGAGCUCUAGGGUACUUCGGGGGUAGGGGUGAAAUCCUGUAAUCCUCGAGGGACCACCAGUGGCGAAGGCGCUAGAGUAGAACGGAUCCGACAGUAAGGGACGAAGCCCUGGGGCGCAAACGGGAUUAGAUACCCGGGUAGUCCCAGCUGUAAACGAUGCUCGCUAGGUGUCAGGUGCGGUGCGACCGCAUCUGGUGCCGUAGUGAAAACUUGAAGCGAGUCACCUGGGAAGUACGGUCGCAAGGCUGAAACUUAAAGGAAUUGGCGGGGGAGCACUACAACGGGUGGAGCCUGCGGUUCAAUUGGAUUCAACGCCGGG
rnacentral:rRNA from 1 species